ACGGGUGAGUAAUGCUUAGGAAUCUGCCUAUUAGUGGGGGACAACAUUCCGAAAGGAAUGCUAAUACCGCAUACGCCCUACGGGGGAAAGCAGGGGAUCUUCGGACCUUGCGCUAAUAGAUGAGCCUAAGUCAGAUUAGCUAGUUGGUGGGGUAAAGGCCUACCAAGGCGACGAUCUGUAGCGGGUCUGAGAGGAUGAUCCGCCACACUGGGACUGAGACACGGCCCAGACUCCUACGGGAGGCAGCAGUGGGGAAUAUUGGACAAUGGGCGAAAGCCUGAUCCAGCCAUGCCGCGUGUGUGAAGAAGGCCUUUUGGUUGUAAAGCACUUUAAGCGAGGAGGAGGCUACUGAGAUUAAUACUCUUGGAUAGUGGACGUUACUCGCAGAAUAAGCACCGGCUAACUCUGUGCCAGCAGCCGCGGUAAUACAGAGGGUGCGAGCGUUAAUCGGAUUUACUGGGCGUAAAGCGUGCGUAGGCGGCUUUUUAAGUCGGAUGUGAAAUCCCUGAGCUUAACUUAGGAAUUGCAUUCGAUACUGGGAAGCUAGAGUAUGGGAGAGGAUGGUAGAAUUCCACGUGUAGCGGUGA
rnacentral:rRNA from 1 species